rnacentral:piRNA from 2 species
UCCCUUUCUGUGAAAGAGGCCUGUGG